rnacentral:sRNA from 1 species
GAAAGUGUGAUACAUUGAAUAAGUAAUACUUCGAUAUGUGAAAAAUUGUUUAUCGUUUUUAGAUGAUAUGCACUUCGAUUUACACGUCUGUUGUCAUUACAAAUUUAAUACACAUAGGUGUAAUUUUUGGAGGAAAUAUUCAUGAAUAACGGUACAGUAAAAUGGUUUAACGCAGACAAAGGUUUCGGUUUCAUCACUGCUGAAGAUGGCAACGAUGUAUUUGCACACUUCUCAGCAAUCCAAGGCGAAGGUUUCAAAACUUUAGAAGAAGGUCAAGCAGUGACUUUUGAUAUCGAAGAAGGCCAACGUGGACCUCAAGCUACAAACAUCGUAAAAGCUUAAUUAAAACGAACUUUUCAAAGAAGAUCUUACGAGAUCUUCUUUUUUU